rnacentral:misc_RNA from 1 species
CUGGGGUCGUUUUUGGCUUUUGGUUGUUUGCUUGGCCUUCGAGCCUAGCAGGCGGCUGAUUUGCUGCGGCGGSUUCGGGGAUGUUUAUCGUAAAGGUGCAUGAGUGGUGUUUGGAUUGAUACGGGUGGUYGGCUCCCUGCUUGAGCAGGCACGGCCAUGCGUACACUCCUSUUCAGUUAUCYGAYAGGGCUUGUAUCGCCUUGAUCGUAUAUGUGGGUUUUCUGUGUUGCAUACCUGAUCAAUGGUAUCGUCUUGAUCAAAACAGUCCCUUUUUCGUCAAGCGUUGCUCUUGUGACGUUGGACGAACCAAGUAGCAUCCUUUUUGAUCCACCUCGUUAACRAGCAUUUGUUGAUGGUUUGGCCCAUUGAGGGAUGCUUGGUCUCUUGGAUAUGGAAGCCAAAGUGGGCAUGGGUUCGUAUGAUCCUUUUACUGCCCUCGUUGAGCGUUCCCGCUUUUCUAAAACGACUGCCUCUCACGUAUGGCACGUCCCAGCRUGUUUGGCUAUGUCGAAGAGGAAUGUUACC